rnacentral:lncRNA from 1 species
CUCCUCGUGUGCACGAAACUCAUGGCACUGGCUCGACGGCUUUCUCUGAAACCCUCUGAUUCCGCCUGGCCCAUCCACACUGUCCCUUCCCGGCCAGGGCUCAUCUCCUAUGCCUGGACCAAACAGCGUAGUCUCCAGUCUCCCUGGUCUCCCCACACGUGACCCCACCCAUCCUCUGAAGCAGCCCCAGAAGGCAGCAGUGACUUCACACUUCUAGUGCCCGGCCCUCCCAGCCCUCCUCUCUGGGCUUGCUUGCCAGGGUCCUCCCAACCUGACUGCUGCCUCCCACCUCCUCUCCGCCCCUGGAGCUCUCCAGCCGCAGCCGCGGGGCCUGCUUGGGAUUCUCCUCUGCUGGCAUCAUCCCUGCCUGCCUCAGCCUUCCCAGGCCCAAUCCUGCCCCAUCUCACCUUUUCCCGCCCAGCCACCUGGCCGGGUCCCCACCAGCAUCUGCCUUCAAACCUGGAGUCCUUCUCUGAGUGCUUGCGGUGCAGUGAGGAAGGAAAUCAAUGUAAAGGAUUAUGACCCACAUUUUUUAAAAAUAAAAAGAUUAAGGAGAACA